CAUAGAAGGUUCUACUAUGGUUAUCAUAGUGACGGAACUGAAUUUAUGUUGCCUAGCGAUGGAGGAGCCAGGAUUGCAGUAUGAAACUCUGCUAUCAAGAUACACUUACUCUGCUGAACAAGACAGAGAAGGCUCUGAGAGACAGUAAGAGCAAAGGAACUCCUCAACAUGGAUUCCUAGGAUGUCCAGGAACUGGUUUUGGUUCCCAGCAUCCACCUCGUC
rnacentral:sRNA from 1 species